rnacentral:tRNA from 1 species
GGGGAUGUAGUUGAAUAGGUUACAACCUUUGCUUGUCAGGCAAAAGAGUGUGGGUUCGAAUCCCAUCAUCCUCA